rnacentral:lncRNA from 1 species
UGGAUGUGGGAAAGAACUAGAACCAAGAACUGAGUUUAACAACCAGAUGAUGGGAGAUGCUCAUUCGGCAUCAGGCGAAAAUGCUGAUUGGGCAGUGGGAUUUACAAGUUGAGUUCAGAGUAGAGGUCAGGACUGGAGACAUAAAUUUGCAAGUUGUCAGUAUAUUGAUGAUCUUGAAAACUGUUUUGGGCAUUAGAAAUAGGGCCUUGGUUGCCUGGGAUUGAUUACAAGCACUAAGGAAGUUUUUUUUGUUGUUGUUUUUUUGGUUUUUGUUUUGUUUUGUUUUGUUUUUUAGGUUAAAGAAAAAGGCCAUUCAUUAAAGGAAAUUAAAGAGCUCAGUGGACAGGAAGCAGGUGAAUGUACCUGUGCUAAACCGGACAUGGGAUUUUGUGCCAUAGGAAUUUCUGGAGCCACAGCAGUCUCAUGAGUUCCAGUAUCAUCAGUUCAGAAGCCUUUACUCCUAUAAAGAAGAUGGGGAUUCAUGCUCUAACACUUUGGAAGAGAAAGAAUCUGGCCACAGGAAAGGAUCUGAAGUCAUCAAAAAGUAAGUCAUAUCAUAUUUCUGUACCCAUGCUUUUAACUACUGUGCUAUGUUGGUUAUACAAAAUAGCCAUACUCCUCAAAACACCGGUAAAAACACUAUGCUGG